rnacentral:rRNA from 1 species
AUGAACGCUGGCGGCGUGCUUAACACAUGCAGGUCGAACGGGAAUUAUUUUAUUGAAACUUCGGUCGAUUUAAUUUAAUUCUAGUGGCGGACGGGUGAGUAACGCGUGGGUAACCUGCCUUAUACAGGGGGAUAACAGUCAGAAAUGGCUGCUAAUACCGCAUAAGCGCACAGAGCUGCAUGGCUCAGUGUGAAAAACUCCGGUGGUAUAAGAUGGACCCGCGUUGGAUUAGCUGGUUGGUGGGGUAACGGCCCACCAAGGCGACGAUCCAUAGCCGGCCUGAGAGGGUGAACGGCCACAUUGGGACUGAGACACGGCCCAGACUCCUACGGGAGGCAGCAGUGGGGAAUAUUGCACAAUGGGGGAAACCCUGAUGCAGCGACGCCGCGUGAAGGAAGAAGUAUCUCGGUAUGUAAACUUCUAUCAGCAGGGAAGAUAGUGACGGUACCUGACUAAGAAGCCCCGGCUAACUACGUG